UACGUAGGGUGCGAGCGUUGUCCGGAAUUAUUGGGCGUAAAGAGCUCGUAGGCGGUGUGUCGCGUCGGCCGUGAAAACCUGCAGCUUAACUGUGGGCUUGCGGUCGAUACGGGCAUCACUGGAGUUCGGCAGGGGAGACUGGAAUUCCUGGUGUAGCGGUGAAAUGCGCAGAUAUCAGGAGGAACACCGGUGGCGAAGGCGGGUCUCUGGGCCGACACUGACGCUGAGGAGCGAAAGCGUGGGGAGCGAACAGG
rnacentral:rRNA from 1 species